CUACGGGACGCACCAGUGGGGAAUAUUGGGCAAUGGGCGCAAGCCUGACCCAGCAACGCCGCGUGGAUGAUGAAGGCCUUAGGGUCGUAAAAUCCUGUCAGGUGGGAAGAAGUGGAUAUAGAUUAAUACUCUAUUUCUUUGACGGUACCACCAAAGGAAGCACCGGCUAACUCCGUGCCAGCAGCCGCGGUAAUACGGAGGGUGCAAACGUUGUUCGGAAUUACUGGGCGUAAAGCGCGCGUAGGCGGUUUGUUAAGUCAGAUGUGAAAGUCCAUGGCGCAACUAUGGAAGUGCAUUUGAAACUGGCAGACUUGAGUACUGGAGGGGGUGAUGGAAUUCCCGGUGUAGAGGUGAAAUUCGUAGAUAUCGGGAGGAAUACCGGUGGCGAAGGCGAUCACCUGGCCAGAUACUGACGCUGAGGUGCGAAAGCGUGGGGAGCAAACAGGAUUAGAUACCCCCGUAGUC
rnacentral:rRNA from 1 species